CAUUUGCUGGUGUCCUUAAAGCUACAUGAGGGUGGGACUGCACCUCCAGAUCUGUGCCUUUGUGCUCAGCUGAAACCCCACCAGGCUCUGCAGAAAAGGACAGAACAAACAGAAGUGACUGCAGGAAUUAUUCCUCUCUGAACCUGGGCCUAGUGAAAUGCUUAUAGCUUUGAAUACCGACAACUGAUAAAAUGUAUGGACUAAUUCUACUGAAUCAUAGGCACAAGAAAACAAGAGAUUUAACUAUAGGAAGAAAAAAAAGUCAAGCAACAUUUGAUUGAUGUAAAGAAUGGCCCAGGAUAAGAAGAAUGAA